rnacentral:rRNA from 1 species
CCUACGGGAGGCAGCAGUAGGGAAUCUUCCGCAAUGGACGAAAGUCUGACGGAGCAACGCCGCGUGAACGAUGAAGGCCUUCGGGUCGUAAAGUUCUGUUGUUAGGGAAGAACAAGUGCUAGUUAAAUAAGCUGGCACCUUGACGGUACCUAACCAGAAAGCCACGGCUAACUACGUGCCAGCAGCCGCGGUAAUACGUAGGUGGCAAGCGUUGUCCGGAAUUAUUGGGCGUAAAGCGCGCGCAGGCGGUUUCUUAAGUCUGAUGUGAAAGCCCCCGGCUCAACCGGGGAGGGUCAUUGGAAACUGGGAAACUUGAGUGCAGAAGAGGAAAGUGGAAUUCCAAGUGUAGCGGUGAAAUGCGUAGAGAUUUGGAGGAACACCAGUGGCGAAGGCGACUUUCUGGUCUGUAACUGACGCUGAGGCGCGAAAGCGUGGGGAGCAAACAGGAUUAGAUACCCUGGUAGUCCACGCUGUAAACGAUGAGUGCUAAGUGUUAGAGGGUUUCCGCCCUUUAGUGCUGAAGUUAACGCAUUAAGCACUCCGCCUGGGGAGUACGGUCGCAAGACUGAAACUUAAAUGAAUUGACGG